UGUAGCCUCAAGCAGUUCGUUUUAACAAAAUUGUUCAGCAGUAAAUGUUAGAUUUUGGUGAUUUUUGAAAAAAUAAUGUUAACAGCUUCAUCUUAUUUAUGAUGAUAUAUUUUGGGUUUCAGGAGAGUCCAGGUGAAGCUCUAAUCUCUUAAAGCCAAAACAACACUUCUAAUGAGUUCCUGCAACACAUAAAUAAAUGUGUUAGGUCACAGAGUGAAGACUCAUAUGCCCACCUCCACAGACCAGGUAAGAGAUACUCAGCCAGUCAUGUGUCACGGACACUCCGUGCUGACCACAAACUACCAGAGAGAAGCCUCCAGUCACUGUGGACUGUCCUGGGACUAGUAGAGGUGGUCUAGUAGCUGGAGCCUCCCAGGAGUUGUCUGUCGUCUUCUACUGGAUCCUAUCCCAGGUGCACCAGGCAGGAUGCAAGAUGAACAGGUAAAUAGCAACAGGUCACUUGCAAAGUCCACAUGCAUAGAAAGCCCCUCAGCCAGCUGAUGGGUUCAAACCUGGGACCUUCUUUCUUUAAGGUGAUGGUGCUAACCACCAAACCAUUAUGCUUCCGGACUUUUAGCACAACAUAUUUGUA